AGCCUAUUAGCUCAACUGGGCGAGCAUCGUGCAACUUCCACGGAGAUGUAGGUUCAAAUCCUACAUAGGCUA
rfam:Spinacia oleracea cultivar SynViroflay scaffold34726.1, whole genome shotgun sequence.